CGUUCUGUGGCGUAGCUGGUUAACGCGCAAAGUCUAGCGUAUUGGAAGUCGUGGGAUCGAAGCCUACCAGAACAA
rfam:Aedes aegypti strain Liverpool supercont1.78 genomic scaffold, whole genome shotgun sequence.